AUCAAUCAAGGCUGUUGCUGGCGCCUCGAGCGCAUGUGCACGCUUCUUUGUUUUCUCCCACUGUGCACAAACCUGUAGACCCUUUCUUGAGGAUUGCCGUGCGAAAGUUGGCUCUCCUUGUCGUCUAUGCUUUCACAACCUANGAAUGUAUCUAGAAUGCUUUUGAAUCUGGGGAAUACACAUACAACUUUCAGCAACGGAUCUCUUGGCUCUCGCAUCGAUGAAGAACGCAGCGAAAUGCGAUAAGUAAUGUGAAUUGCAGAAUUCAGUGAAUCAUCGAAUCUUUGAACGCAUCUUGCGCUCCUUGGUAUUCCGAGGAGCAUGCCUGUUUGAGUGUCAUUUGAAACCUCUCAACCACCUUCAAGGUGGCUUGGAAAUGGGGGAUCGUUGCAGGCUUUGAAGUCUGCUCCCCUGAAAUGCAUUAGUGGUGUCUGGGCUGACUGCCACAGGUGUGAUAACUAUCAGUGCCUUGGUGGAGACCUCNCNGCUUCCAACUCUCUGAUGACCAGCUUGACCUCAAAUCAGGUAGGAUUACCCGCUGAACUUAAGCAUAUCAAUAAGCGGAGGA
rnacentral:sRNA from 1 species